CAGUCGCCGCGGUAAUACAGAGGAUGCAAGCGUUAUCCGGAAUGAUUGGGCGUAAAGCGUCUGUAGGUGGCUUUUCAAGUCCGCCGUCAAAUCCCAGGGCUCAACCCUGGACAGGCGGUGGAAACUACCAAGCUGGAGUACGGUAGGGGCAGAGGGAAUUUCCGGUGGAGCGGUGGAAUGCGUUGAGAUCGGAAAGAACACCAACAGCGAAAGCACUCUGCUGGGCCGACACUGACACUGAGAGACGAAAGCUAGGGGAGCAAAUGGGAUUAGAUACCCCAGUAGUCCCUGUCUCUUAUAC
rnacentral:rRNA from 1 species